UAGCCUAGUGGUUAAGGCUAUGGAUUGCAAUCCGGAGACGGCGGGUUCGAUUCCCGU
rnacentral:tRNA from 1 species